rnacentral:sRNA from 1 species
GCCAGGCAUGGUGGUGCACACCUGUAAUCCCAGUAGUUUGGGAGGCUGAGGCAGGAGAAUCGCAAGUUGGAGGCCAGCCUCAGCCACUUAGUGAGGCCCUAAGCAACUCAGUGAGACCCUAUCUCAA